GUCUGUGAUUGUGUGAUGGGCACGGCCAGUGUCCUGGCUGCACCAUCGGGACGAGCCUGUCUGCAGAGGCUCCCUGGUUGCCGGUCCAGGCCCACACUCAGCAUUCACACUCUGUGACCGUAACGUCACUCGACACAAGACCCUCGAUGAACCAUGUGUCUGUCUUUAAAGACCUCAGUGUCUCCGGAGUCUGCCUGGCUCUUUAUUUGGUUCUUACAUAAAACAGCACUAAAUCUCCCAAGGCACGGACACUUCGAGCUUCUCGCACUGCCUGCUUCCUGAAGCCACACCGUGCACACUCAGCACCUGUGGGCACACCAGGCCCAGCACACCCCUGCCUGCUGUCUCGGUCUUGCUCCCAGUUCCGUGGGGGACGGCCCCAGGGCUUCCUGCAAAAGGGAAAUCAGCAGGCAGAUCUCUUGCCAGAUCAUGUCUGAUAACACCCGUGUCCCACCCUCAGUGUGACGGACGGCUUGCAUGGAGCUGGGGCUCCACGGUGGGCGUCGUUCCUCCUCGGAACACGGGCUCCGUGAGCAGGCGCUGAGCCGCGUGCAUGUGCGAAGUGCUGGUUUGUGGGGCCAGCUGAGAGCCCCAGAUUGUGUCUCCAAAGCAAUUAUAUUUCUAAACAUGUUCAAAGUUAUUUUUAACCAUUUAUAGUCCUUCCUGGUUUUCACUGCUCAGAGACUAUUUAAACCCGUUCUUUCUUUAUUAGAUCCAGAAAUGCAGAUAAGGACACUUGCUGCAAAUUGUGAAUGAAAGGGAGCGGGCAUUCACCAAAAGACUACCCUCCAGCUCUGCUAGGUACGCUCACCUGUUUCCAUGUCGGUGCAGGUGAGGGGUUGCCUGUGCCUGAGACAACGUGGACCCACAACACCAGGUGAGACAGGCGGUGGGUGGGCUGGCACCCGCCUGAAAGAGAAAGGGCCACCAGCUCAGGAGAGGAGCCCGUGGGCCACACAUGGGGGCGGGGGGAGCGGGGGUAGAAUGUCCCUGGUGCUAACGAUCAAAACCCACAGAAAUGUCUGCCCGGAGGCUGCUCUGGCAGAGAAUGAAAUGUCGCAGGAAAGAACUGGGCCCGUUCCAAACACUGUUGGUCAUGAACCCGCAAAUACUCUAACUGCCACGAGCUGGUGCAGAUUCGCACAGACGCACCAUCAUCCACAGGAACCACUGAUGAGAGGGAUUCACCCUCCAGCUCAGUCAGCAUCCAGCGGAACCAGGACAUGAACCCUGACUCACCCCGACCGGUGGAGGGCACUAGGCUAUCACCAGAUGUUAUCAGUACUUGCAGGCUUGCCCAUACCUUACGGACUAAGGUAAGGAACAAAAAGUUUUCACACACAAAUAAUACAUGUUUUUAACACUUCAUGCAUAAAUGAGAGGAGAAAUUUCCAUUGAAUAACAUUUUGGAGCCCCCCAAUCAUUUUUUAGCAUAAAAUUCAGGGUUCCUAAGAAACAACCCAACUGCUGGUGGCUAAACUAUAUUUGUCCUCAUGCCUCAGAGUCUCAGAGCACAAUGUUUUAUUUAUGGGAACGCUAUAUAAAACUCGGAAAAUGGAACAAAAACAAACAGAUAUGGUUUGCUUUUCCAGUCAUGAGAGUUCAAAACUCACCCCUCCAUGUGCUCACGGAACCUUGGAAAACAAAACCAGGGCAGUCGCGGGAGGCAGGUGGCACAGGCCAUCACAUGCCCCUUCUGAGCCAUCACACUGUUUUCUGGUGCCGGCCGCGGUUAGAAAGAGCUCCAGGUUCCGCGGGGAGUGUUCUGAGGGGGUGGGAAUAGGGUUCCUAGGCCCCAAGUCUCUAAACCAUGAAACUUGGAACAUCUGGAAACGCUGAGCUGUGCUGAAGACCGACGUGGAGAGGUCGAGGAGCCGGUGCAAAGUCUCUGCCAACCGGUUUGGCUCUCGGAAGCUAUCUCUCCAUCGAUCUACUCGUGGGAGCCGCUGGACAAACCCCGGACUCCAGGACUUGGGCCAGAGCGCGCGUUUCCUCCAGGGACUGUGCUCAGGCUUCCAGGAGACCUGGAAAGCGGGACCUGCUCACGAGGCCAAAGGGGUCGCGGCUUCCCCCAGCCCGAGCAGUUACUCCCGCGAGGGUCCUGGCUGGGAGCGAAGGGCCACCUGCGAAUCUCUUGGCGAGGAUGGAACCAGGGCCAGCCAGCCACACAUGACACAGGGGAACAAACCUGAGCAUCAAGCACAAGUGUCUCCCGUGUGAGCAUCCUCCUCCUCCGCCGCCUUUAAGAUUUAGGGAGUCACGGCUGACCUAGCAGACACAUGUGGGCUGUGGGAAAGGCAAGAACACUUUAUCCUCCACACGGACCUCCCCACGCUUCUGAAAUAAGUUGGCUUUUUCCUACGAGAACUGCAUUCCCAGUUCAAGACCAGCAACAGCACACGACCCCCGGGUUCGGCUGGAAAGACCCGUCAGGAACGACCCAGCUCAGCAGGGCAGUGGAGACGUUGCCCCCUCACACGCGUGGAAACCAGGAUUACAGAGGACACGUGACUUGUGAGCAAGGCUCGGACUUUGGACACGGCGUCUGGUCACCCACAAGCCAGGCCUCCGGGGCACAGGAGGGGACACAGCUCCCGCUGUAAACGGCGCGAGUUACCUGAAUAAACGCUCAUGAAACUUCUUUCACCGUCACUGUUUACAUGUUGUAUCUACAUGGAAGACUGCCCUGUGGAAGUUGACAUUAUACAGCCCAUGACCUUGCCUAGGGCCUCAGCCACAGAGUGAGGGACCGUCUGGAAUUUGCAUCAGGAGACUGCGGAGACCAGCACCUGGAAGGACAUUUGGGGGCCAGUCCCGCAGUGUGUGCGGUCCGGCCUGACCCCGACCAGAGGUCAGGCUCCAAUGAGGCCACAGGUGUGAUAGCCAUCGAGACCAGAUCUCACCUCAUCAGCUUCUCCCUAAAAAGUGGCGACUGUGAUGCUGCUGCUCCGACUCCCACGUCCACACGCAGCUUCAGCUCCCACUCGACACGGAGGCACGGCCGCCACGUGAGGCGCCAUGGAGGGCGGGCAGCGUGGGCACCUGGGCAGGAGCCCCGAACAGAACACAGAGCUCCCUCCCUCCCUCCCUCCCUCCCUCUCACCACACCAUCCGGUAGGUGGGGGCGGCCCAGGGCCAGGAGGGGGUCUGCACUCACAGACCAGCCCCCACACCCAGCCGCCUGCGGGCUGACGGCAGCUCUGAUCUCUAUUCCAUCUCAGUCAAGGUGUCAGUUAGCCCGAAGCCUCCAUCUCCUGGCUGUGUGGGUGGGCAGCUCUGACUCUACAACAGAAAGCAAUUCCGUUGAAAAGUGAAAAAUGCCUCGUACUUGGGUGAACGGACAUGAGUGUGCACAUAGCGGUCUCAGCACAGCAUCCUCCACUGCACAACUAGCACCACACAUUCCUCUUCCCAACCCCACAGAACCUUCGCCUACACGCUGCUUCCCUAAAACUUCAGGUGUGGAGUCCUCCGAGAGGGCCGGCGUGUUUCCUCCGUGGGUGGAGAAGAAACAGAACCCCCACCAUGUUGCACCGGGACCCUGAGUGGUACAGGGCAGACCGAGACCCUGCAGACCUGGCCCAGGGUGCAGGGAGGUUCCCCCAAGGACAUGCCACCAAGAACACACCACCAAGAACACGCUACUGAGAACCAGGAAAACAAGCCCUCAGUCUGAGGCAGCUCACGACCAUGAGGCGAUGUCCAGUGAGUGACGGAGGUGCUGGGCCUAACGAGCUUGAGCCACUGACCUGACUCCCUGCAUGUGCACGUGUGUGCUAUUUACUCAUGUGUGUACACCUACUUUACAUGCAUGCUUUUAACAAUAAUUAUAAGCAGCCACAAAAGCAAAAAGAAAACAUGAAAAUAUUCACCGUACAGUAUCCUGAGAUGGUAACAGUGUAAACUGACUCACACUCGUGCAUUCUCUGUGUGACUGCACA